rnacentral:rRNA from 1 species
UACGUAGGGUGCAAACGUUGCUCGGAAUUAUUGGGCGUAAAGCGCACGUAGGCGGCUUUGCAAGUUCGUUGUGAAAUCCCUCGGCUCAACCAAGGAAGUGCAUCGAAAACUGCAGAGCUUGAGUACGAAAGAGGAUCGCGGAAUUCCCGGUGUAGAGGUGAAAUUCGUAGAUAUCGGGAGGAACACCGGUGGCGAAGGCGGCGACCUGGGUAGAUACUGACGCUGAGGUGCGAAAGCGUGGGGAGCAAACAGG